UACGAGAGGCCCAAACGUUAUUCGGAAUUACUGGGCUUAAAGAGUUCGUAGGCGGCAUUGCAAGUAGGGUGUGAAAGCCCUCGGCUCAACCGAGGAAUUGCGCUCUAAACUGCAGUGCUCGAGGAAGCUAGAGGUGAGCAGAACAGAUGGUGGAGCGGUGAAAUGCGUUGAUAUCAUCUGGAAUACCGGAGGCGAAGGCGGCUCACUGGGGCUUUUCUGACGCUGAGGAACGAAAGCCAGGAUAGCGAACGGG
rnacentral:rRNA from 1 species